rnacentral:rRNA from 1 species
AACGAACGCUGGCGGCAGGCUUAACACAUGCAAGUCGAGCGCCCCGCAAGGGGAGCGGCAGACGGGUGAGUAACGCGUGGGAAUCUACCCAUCACUACGGAACAACUCCGGGAAACUGGAGCUAAUACCGUAUACGUCCUUCGGGAGAAAGAUUUAUCGGUGAUGGAUGAGCCCGCGUUGGAUUAGCUAGUUGGUGGGGUAAUGGCCUACCAAGGCGACGAUCCAUAGCUGGUCUGAGAGGAUGAUCAGCCACACUGGGACUGAGACACGGCCCAGACUCCUACGGGAGGCAGCAGUGGGGAAUAUUGGACAAUGGGCGAAAGCCUGAUCCAGCCAUGCCGCGUGAGUGAUGACGGCCCUAGGGUUGUAAAGCUCUUUCGCAGGUGAAGAUAAUGACGGUAGCCUGAGAAGAAGCCCCGGCUAACUUCGUGCCAGCAGCCGCAGUAAUAC